rnacentral:lncRNA from 1 species
GAGAGGGGAUUUUUAUUUUUUACAUUUGGGUUGCUUAGGUUGGGAAUUCUCCACCCUUGGUUUUUUUAUUUAUUUAAUUUCAAUAAAAGUUUUUUUUCUUAUUUUUAUUGUUUUUUUAUUAUGCAUAACUAAAUUUCAAUUCUAAUUUUAGGCCAAAAAUUAUUUCAAUGUUAGGAAUAUUAAAUUUGAAAUCAUAAUUACACUCUUUACUUUGGUUUUAGUUAAC